GAUCCUGGCUCAGGAUGAACGCUGGCGGCGUGCUUAACACAUGCAAGUCGAACGAAGCACUUUAUUUGAUUUCCUUCGGGACUGAUUAUUUUGUGACUGAGUGGCGGACGGGUGAGUAACGCGUGGGUAACCUGCCUUGUGCAGGGGGAUAACAGUUGGAAACGGCUGCUAAUACCGCAUAAGCGCACGGCAUCGCAUGAUGCAGUGUGAAAAAACUCCGGUGGUAUAAGAUGGACCCGCGUUGG
rnacentral:rRNA from 1 species